UACGGGAGGCAGCAGUGGGGAAUAUUGCACAAUGGGGGAAACCCUGAUGCAGCGACGCCGCGUGAGUGAAGAAGUAUUUCGGUAUGUAAAGCUCUAUCAGCAGGGAAGAAAGUGACGGUACCUGAAUAAGAAGCCCCGGCUAACUACGUGCCAGCAGCCGCGGUAAUACGUAGGGGGCAAGCGUUAUCCGGAUUUACUGGGUGUAAAGGGAGCGUAGACGGCAAGGCAAGUCUGAAGUGAAAGCCCGGUGCUUAACGCCGGGACUGCUUUGGAAACUGUUUGGCUGGAGUGCCGGAGAGGUAAGCGGAAUUCCUAGUGUAGCGGUGAAAUGCGUAGAUAUUAGGAAGAACACCAGUGGCGAAGGCGGCUUACUGGACGGUAACUGACGUUGAGGCUCGAAAGCGUGGGGAGCAAACAGGAUUAGAUACCCUGGUAGUCCACGCCGUAAACGAUGAUUGCUAGGUGUAGGUGGGUAUGGACCCAUCGGUGCCGCAGCUAACGCAAUAAGCAAUCCACCUGGGG
rnacentral:rRNA from 1 species